rnacentral:lncRNA from 11 species
GUGCAUGCCUAUAUUUUCCAGAUGGCUGUGUCAGUGGAAAAUGCUUUGGGCUCUCUUCGUUUAAAUGCCAUUAUAAGGUUUCCAAGUUCUCUGGAGCAUAUUUGGGGAGUUAAAUCGCAGAAGACUAUAUGUAAGAGGAAUAGCCACAUCCCUUCUACUUCAUAAACAAAAUGACACUUUUUGAUCUAUCC